rnacentral:rRNA from 1 species
AGACGGAGGGUGCAAGCGUUGUUGGGAAUUACUGGGCGUAAAGGGCAGGUAGGUGGUCUGUUAAGUCUUCUGAGAAAAUCCGGGGCUCAACCCCGCGAAAUGCAGGUGAAACUGGCGGACUGGAGACCGGUAGAGGCUAGCGGAAUUCCUGGUGUAGCGGUGGAAUGCGUAGAUAUCAGGAAGAACGCCUGUGGCGAAGGCGGCUAGCUGGGCCGGUUCUGACACUAAACUGCGAAAGCGUGGGGAGCAAACAGGAUUAGAAACCCUAGUAGUCC